rnacentral:rRNA from 1 species
UACGUAGGGGGCAAGCGUUGUCCGGAUUUAUUGGGCGUAAAGAGCGUGUAGGCGGCCAGGUAGGUCUGCUGUGAAAACUCGAGGCUUAACCUCGAGCUGUCGGCGGAAACCAUCUGGCUAGAGUCCGGAAGAGGAGAAUGGAAUUCCCGGUGUAGCGGUGAAAUGCGCAGAUAUCGGGAAGAACACCCGUGGCGAAGGCGGUUCUCUGGGACGGUACUGACGCUGAGGCGCGAAAGCUAGGGGAGCAAACAGG